UACUCAGGGGGUUGCCGACUUCCCAACCAGU
rnacentral:piRNA from 1 species